UGGUUUCUUCCGCACGACAACGCGGGAGAUGAAAAGGGAACACGGUGAGGCGUACCCAAAAGGGACCGAGACCGUGGCUGCCCCCGCAACUGUAAGCGGUGAGCGAUGCCUGACAUGCCACUGACCGGAAGGUCGGGAAGGCAAGGCGAAGCUGAGACCCGCGAGCCAGGAGACCUGCCAUCUCAUCU
rnacentral:ncRNA from 1 species